rnacentral:rRNA from 1 species
AUCAUUUAGAGGAAGGAGAAGUCGUAACAAGGUUUCCGUAGGUGAACCUGCGGAAGGAUCAUUGUCGAAACCUGCAAAAGCAGACCGCGAACACGUGCUUAACUACACGGCGCGCGGCGCGGGGGACGCGAGUCUCCCCGUCGCGCGCUGAAUCCCCGCCGGCGCGCUCCAUCGGGUCGCGUCGUUCGGGCUAACGAACCCCGGCGCGGAAUGCGCCAAGGAAAACUUAACGAAGCGUCCGCAUCCCCGCAGCCCGUCCGCGGAACCUGCGGGGGGACCGGUCGUCUAUCAUAAUGUCAAAACGACUCUCGGCAACGGAUAUCUCGGCUCUCGCAUCGAUGAAGAACGUAGCGAAAUGCGAUACUUGGUGUGAAUUGCAGAAUCCCGUGAACCAUCGAGUCUUUGAACGCAAGUUGCGCCCGAAGCCUUUAGGCCGAGGGCACGUCUGCCUGGGCGUCACGCAUCGCGUCGCCCCACCUCACCGCGCACGAACGUGCCGGCGAGUGGGGCGGAUAUUGGCCCCCCGUGCGCCUCGGCGUGCGGUCGGCCCAAAUGCGAUCCCUCGGCGACUCGUGUCGCGACUAGUGGUGGUUGAACCUCAAUCUCUCAAUCGUCGUGCUCCCGCGUCGUCUGCAAGGGCAUCAAUGAACGACCCAACGGUGUCGGUGCCGCACGGCGCCCCACCUUCGACCGCGACCCC